CGGGAUUGGCUUGCAGAAAGAUAAAGGCGGGACCAGGAGAGGAAGCUUUGGUAGUCGGCUCUCAGAAACGUAGGAGGUGACUCUUGCAGGAGCUGCGGCUCUGUUGCUCUACCUCGGCAUCUAUCUCCAUGGCAGUUCCCGAGACCCGCCCCAACCACACUAUUUAUAUCAACAACCUCAACGAGAAGAUCAAGAAGGAUGGCAAACCGUCAGUUAAUCCUUCAGCCUUUGCACACACUGCUUCCUGUGUCUUUAACGCGCCUCCAGUCCAUCUUGUACUCUGGCCAUUAGCCUGGUCACUGUUGUUCGUCUUUGAAGGUUUCAGCUCACAGGACUCCUCCAAGAACCCUUCGGCGUCCCCUUUCCCCUCAGGUGCCUGCCUCUGACUUCCCAGAGGCGCUGGACAUGUCCCGCUCAAGCCCUGAUGGUUCUGGGCUGUUACGGGGUUGUCUGCACUGGUGUGUGAGCUCCAUGAGAGUAAGCGCUGGGAUGGUCUUGGUCACCGUCAUGUACUCAGUGAUCAGCCCACUGUGGAGGUGUUUGAUUUCAAAAAGGAAAUGAAAUAAGAGUAAGAUGGCUAACACCAUCAUCAAGUACUGAUAUGUACAUCUUUAUUAAGUUAAAUUCUCACAAUAUUUCAGGAAGGAGCUGUUACUUCUCUUUCUCAGAUUAGGAAUCAGACUCAGGUGAUGUGACUUGCCCAGGGUCACACAACAAGGUAAAGUGGUUGAGGCCACCAGUGUGGAAUUCUGCUUAAGAACUCUAUUCUUGACAUUGGACGUAUUUUUCCAUUUUCUUUAUCACCUUUAUUGAGUUUCAUUUUCUAUAUUUGA